rnacentral:rRNA from 1 species
UACGUAGGGGGCAAGCGUUGUCCGGAAUCAUUGGGCGUAAAGCGCGUGUAGGCGGCCAGAAAAGUCCGUUGUGAAAACUCGAGGCUCAACCUCGAGACGUCGGCGGAAACCCUCUGGCUAGAGUCCGGAAGAGGAGAGUGGAAUUCCUGGUGUAGCGGUGAAAUGCGCAGAUAUCAGGAAGAACACCCGUGGCGAAGGCGGCUCUCUGGGACGGUACUGACGCUGAGACGCGAAAGCGUGGGGAGCAAACAGG